rnacentral:rRNA from 1 species
UCCUUCGGGACCGAGCGGCGGACGGGUUAGUAACGCGUGGGAACGUACCCAGAUCUACGGAAUAGCCUUUGGAAACGAAGAGUAAUACCGUAUACGCCCUUCGGGGGAAAGAUUUAUCGGAUUUGGAUCGGCCCGCGUUAGAUUAGAUAGUUGGUGGGGUAAUGGCCUACCAAGUCUACGAUCUAUAGCUGGUUUUAGAGGAUGAUCAGCAACACUGGGACUGAGACACGGCCCAGACUCCUACGGGAGGCAGCAGUGGGGAAUCUUAGACAAUGGGCGCAAGCCUGAUCUAGCCAUGCCGCGUGUGUGAUGAAGGCCUUAGGGUCGUAAAGCACUUUCGCCAGAGAUGAUAAUGACAGUAUCUGGUAAAGAAACCCCGGCUAACUCCGUGCCAGCAGCCGCGGUAAUACGGAGGGGGUUAGCGUUGUUCGGAAUUACUGGGCGUAAAGCGCGCGUAGGCGGGUUAUUAAGUUAGAGGUGAAAUCCCAGGGCUCAACCCUGGAACUGCCUUUAAUACUGGUAACCUAGAGUUCGAGAGAGGUGAGUGGAAUUCCAAGUGUAGAGGUGAAAUUCGUAGAUAUUUGGAGGAACACCAGUGGCGAAGGCGGCUCACUGGCUCGAUACUGACGCUG